AUUGAACUUUGGAAAGAAUAUAUAUCAAAACUAGCACGGGGGAAAGGAAGACUUUACUGGAGGAGAGGGAGCUGAUUCAGGAAUAAGGGAUACUGGUGUCACUGGCUGGACCAGAAUUUAUUGCCCAUCCCUAAUUGCUCAGAGGGACGUUUAAGAAUCAACUAUAUUCCUAUAGGUUUGGAGUCACAUGGAGCCAGACCAGGCCCAGAGAUGCUGCCAGUGUCCCGAAAGCAUGAAGAACUUACACAGCAGACUGUAUGCUCUUGCGUGGGC